CCUACGGGUGGCUGCAGUGAGGAAUAUUGGUCAAUGGGCGCAAGCCUGAACCAGCCAAGUCGCGUGAGGGAUGACGGUCCUAUGGAUUGUAAACCUCUUUUGUCGGGGAGCAAGGCCCGCCACGUGUGGCGGGAAGGAGAGUACCCGAAGAAAAAGCAGCGGCUAACUCCGUGCCAGCAGCCGCGGUAAUACGGAGGAUGCGAGCGUUAUCCGGAUUUAUUGGGUUUAAAGGGUGCGUAGGCGGAAGGUUAAGUCAGCGGUCAAAUGUCGGGGCUCAACCUCGCCGAGCCGUUGAAACUGCUCUUCUAGCGUGGGCGAGAAGUAUGCGGCAUGCGUGGUGUAGCGGUGAAAUGCAUAGACAUCACGCAGAACUCCGAUUGCGAAGGCAGCAUACCGGCGCCCAACUGACGCUCAUGCACGAAAGCGUGGGUAUCGAACAGGAUUAGAUACCCCUGUAGUC
rnacentral:rRNA from 1 species